rnacentral:misc_RNA from 1 species
UUGAAAUAAACCUGAUGGGUUGUUGCUGGUUCUCUAGGGAACAUGUGCACGCCUUGUCAUCUUUAUAUCUCCACCUGUGCACUUUUUGUAGGCCUUUCCAGGUCUAUGUUGCUUCAUUUACCCCCAAUGUAUGUUAAUAGAAUGUUGUGCCUAUAUAACAUAUA